AUGAACGCUGGCGGCGUGCCUAAUACAUGCAAGUCGAGCGAACGGACGAGAAGCUUGCUUCUCUGAUGUUAGCGGCGGACGGGUGAGUAACACGUGGAUAACCUACCUAUAAGACUGGGAUAACUUCGGGAAACCGUAGCUAAUACCGGAUAAUAUUUUGAACCGCAUGGUUCAAAAGUGAAAGACGGUCUUGCUGUCACUUAUAGAUGGAUCCGCGCUGCAUUAGCUAGUUGGUAAGGUAACGGCUUACCAAGGCAACGAUGCAUAGCCGACCUGAGAGGGUGAUCGGCCACCCUGGAACUGAGACACGGUCCAGACUCCUACGGGAGGCAGCAGUAGGGAAUCUUCCGCAAUGGGCGAAAGCCUGACGGAGCAACGCCGCGUGAGUGAUGAAGUUCUUCGGAUCGUAAAACUCUGUUAUUAGGGAAGAACAUAUGUGUAAGUAACUGUGCACAUCUUGACGGUACCUAAUCAGAAAGCCACGGCUAACUACGUG
rnacentral:rRNA from 1 species